rnacentral:rRNA from 1 species
GGUAGACGAUGGCAAAUUGGUUAAUAUUCCAAUACCAACAUUAGUGUGCGAUGGAAGGACGCUUAGGGCUAAGGGGGCUAGCGGAUGGAAGUGCUAGUCUAAGGUCGUAGGAGGUUAUACAGGCAAAUCCGUAUAACAAUACUCCGAGAACUGAAAGGCUUUUUGAAGUCUUCGGAUGGAUAGAAGAACCCCUGAUGCCGUCGAGCCAAGAAAAGUUUCUAAGUUUAGCUAAUGUUGCCCGUACCGUAAACCGACACAGGUGGGUGGGAUGAGUAUUCUAAGGCGCGUGGAAGAACUCUCUUUAAGGAACUCUGCAAAAUAGCACCGUAUCUUCGGUAUAAGGUGUGGUUAGCUUUGUAUUAGGAUUUACUCCGAAAGCAAGGAAACUUACAACAAAGAGUCCCUCCCGACUGUUUACCAAAAACACAGCACUCUGCUAACUCGUAAGAGGAUGUAUAGGGUGUGACGCCUGCCCGGUGCUCGAAGGUUAAUUGAUGGGGUUAGCAUUAGCGAAGCUCUUGAUCGAAGCCCGAGUAAACGGCGGCCGUAACUAUAACGGUCCUAAGGUAGCGAAAUUCCUUGUCGGUUAAAUACCGACCUGCAUGAAUGGCGUAACGAGAUGGGAGCUGUCUCAAAGAGGGAUCCAGUGAAAUUGUAGUGGAGGUGAAAAUUCCUCCUACCCGCGGCAAGACGGAAAGACCCCGUGGACCUUUACUACAGCUUGACACUGCUACUUGGAUAAGAAUGUGCAGGAUAGGUGGGAGGCUUUGAGUAUAUGACGCCAGUUGUAUAUGAGCCAUUGUUGAGAUACCACUCUUUCUUAUUUGGGUAGCUAACCAGCUUGAGUUAUCCUCAAGUGGGACAAUGUCUGGUGGGUAGUUUGACUGGGGCGGUCGCCUCCCAAAUAAUAACGGAGGCUUACAAAGGUUGGCUCAGAACGGUUGGAAAUCGUUCGUAGAGUAUAAAGGUAUAAGCCAGCUUAACUGCAAGACAUACAAGUCAAGCAGAGACGAAAGUCGGUCUUAGUGAUCCGGUGGUUCUGUGUGGAAGGGCCAUCGCUCAAAGGAUAAAAGGUACCCCGGGGAUAACAGGCUGAUCUCCCCCAAGAGCUCACAUCGACGGGGAGGUUUGGCACCUCGAUGUCGGCUCAUCGCAUCCUGGGGCUGGAGCAGGUCCCAAGGGUAUGGCUGUUCGCCAUUUAAAGCGGUACGCGAGCUGGGUUCAGAACGUCGUGAGACAGUUCGGUCCCUAUCUGCCGUGGGCGUAAGAAGAUUGAAGAGAUUUGACCCUAGUACGAGAGGACCGGGUUGAACAAACCACUGGUGUAGCUGUUGUUCUGCCAAGAGCAUCGCAGCGUAGCUAAGUUUGGAAAGGAUAAACGCUGAAAGCAUCUAAGCGUGAAGCCAACUCUAAGAUGAAUCUUCUCUAAGCUCUCUAGAAGACUACUAGUUUGAUAGGCUGGGUGUGUAAUGGAUGAAAGUCCUUUAGCUGACCAGUACUAAUAGAGCGUUUGGCUUAUCUUU